AUUGAACGCUGGCGGCAUGCCUUACACAUGCAAGUCGAACGGUAACAGGUUAAGCUGACGAGUGGCGAACGGGUGAGUAGUAUAUCGGAACGUGCCCAGUCGUGGGGGAUAACGUAGCGAAAGCUACGCUAAUACCGCAUACGAUCUACGGAUGAAAGCGGGGGAUCGCAAGACCUCGCGCGAUUGGAGCGGCCGAUAUCAGAUUAGGUUGUUGGUGAGGUAAAAGCUCACCAAGCCUGCGAUCUGUAGCUGGUCUGAGAGGACGACCAGCCACACUGGAACUGAGACACGGUCCAGACUCCUACGGGAGGCAGCAGUGGGGGAUUUUGGACAAUGGACGCAAGUCUGAUCCAGCAAUGCCGCGUGCAGGACGAAGGCCUUCGGGUUGUAAACUGCUUUUGUACGGAACGAAACGGUGAGCUCUAAUACAGUUUGCUAAUGACGGUACCGUAAGAAUAAGCACCGGCUAACUACGUGCCAGCCGCCGCGGUAA
rnacentral:rRNA from 1 species